CAGCAGCCGCGGUAAUACGGAGGGCGCGAGCGUUACCCGGAUUUACUGGGCGUAAAGGGCUCGCAGGCGGUUUCUUAAGUCUGAUGUGAAAGCCCCCGGCUCAACCGGGGAGGGUCAUUGGAAACUGGGAAACUUGGGUGCAGAAGAGGAGAGUGGAAUUCCACGUGUAGCGGUGAAAUGCGUAGAGAUGUGGAGGAACACCAGUGGCGAAGGCGACUCUCUGGUCUGUAACUGACGCUGAGGAGCGAAAGCGUGGGGAGCGAACAGGAUUAGAUACCCCCGUAGUCCCUGUCUCUUAUAA
rnacentral:rRNA from 1 species